GUCGUAGGCAUCUUAAGCUGUAGCACAAAAACAAACAUAGGUCAAUAAAACCUAUACUAUUGAACCCUCAUUGAGGAUAUAAACCAACUAAUUAAGCGAAAGUAAUGAAAUGUAACACGUACUAACUUCCGAUGUCACGUUGUCGGCCGCCAACGUGGCCCUCUGCAAAGUUAGUAAUUGCACAUUCCGAUCAAACUCCUACCAUUCGGAGUUUAUAAAUUACCCAAUCGAAGUACUUUCGCUAACAACAACCUCAACUAGACCCCGUCUCUCACAAGCCUAUUCUUAUAGUCCAACCAGCCUAAGGUUUGCUAGGUCUACUAAGACUCAACCCUAGGCUCUAAUACCACUAUAAUCUGUCACGCCUGGGUACCAGCGGAAGCAUAUCCGGUACGUGCACAGACCCGCCAUACACCUGCAGU
rnacentral:lncRNA from 1 species